rnacentral:rRNA from 1 species
AUAUGACCUUCUGCUUCAUGGUGGUUGGUGGAAAGCUUUUGCGGUUUGGGAUGGGCCCGCGGCCUAUCAGCUUGUUGGUGGGGUAAUGGCCUACCAAGGCGACGACGGGUAGCCGACCUGAGAGGGUGAUCGGCCACACUGGGACUGAGACACGGCCCAGACUCCUACGGGAGGCAGCAGUGGGGAAUAUUGCACAAUGGGCGCAAGCCUGAUGCAGCGACGCCGCGUGAGGGAUGACGGCCUUCGGGUUGUAAACCUCUUUCGGCAGGGACGAAGCGCAAGUGACGGUACCUGCAGAAGAAGCACCGGCCAACUACGUGCCAGCAGCCGCGGUAAUACGUAGGGUGCGAGCGUUGUCCGGAAUUACUGGGCGUAAAGAGCUCGUAGGCGGUUUGUCGCGUCGUCUGUGAAAUUCUGCAACUCAAUUGCAGGCGUGCAGGCGAUACGGGCAGACUUGAGUACUACAGGGGAGACUGGAAUUCCUGGUGUAGCGGUGAAAUGCGCAGAUAUCAGGAGGAACACCGGUGGCGAAGGCGGGUCUCUGGGUAGUAACUGACGCUGAGGAGCGAAAGCGUGGGGAGCGAACAGGAUUAGAUACCCUGGUAGUCCACGCCGUAAACGGUGGGUACUAGGUGUGGGGCUCAUUUCACGAGUUCCGUGCCGUAGCUAACGCAUUAAGUACCCCGCCUGGGGAGUACGGCCGCAAGGCUAAAACUCAAAGGAAUUGACGGGGGGGCCCGCACAAGCGGCGGAGCAUGUGGAUUAAUUCGAUGCAACGCGAAGAACCUUACCUGGGUUUGACAUACACCAGACGUAUGUAGAGAUACAUAUUCCCUUGUGGUUGGUGUACAGGUGGUGCAUGGCUGUCGUCAGCUCGUGUCGUGAGAUGUUGGGUUAAGUCCCGCAACGAGCGCAACCCUUGUCCUGUAUUGCCAGCACGUAAUGGUGGGGACUUGCAGGAGACUGCCGGGGUCAACUCGGAGGAAGGUGGGGAUGACGUCAAGUCAUCAUGCCCCUUAUGUCCAGGGCUUCACACAUGCUACAAUGGCGCGUACAGAGGGCUGCGAGACCGUGAGG